rnacentral:rRNA from 1 species
AACGGAAAGGCCCUGCUUUUGUGGGGUGCUCGAGUGGCGAACGGGUGAGUAACACGUGAGUAACCUGCCCUUGACUUUGGGAUAACUUCAGGAAACUGGGGCUAAUACCGGAUAGGAGCUCCUGCUGCAUGGUGGGGGUUGGAAAGUUUCGGCGGUUGGGGAUGGACUCGCGGCUUAUCAGCUUGUUGGUGGGGUAGUGGCUUACCAAGGCUUUGACGGGUAGCCGGCCUGAGAGGGUGACCGGCCACAUUGGGACUGAGAUACGGCCCAGACUCCUACGGGAGGCAGCAGUGGGGAAUAUUGCACAAUGGGCGGAAGCCUGAUGCAGCAACGCCGCGUGCGGGAUGACGGCCUUCGGGUUGUAAACCGCUUUCGCCUGUGACGAAGCGUGAGUGACGGUAAUGGGUAAAGAAGCACCGGCUAACUACGUGCCAGCAGCCGCGGUGAUACGUAGGGUGCGAGCGUUGUCCGGAUUUAUUGGGCGUAAAGGGCUCGUAGGUGGUUGAUCGCGUCGGAAGUGUAAUCUUGGGGCUUAACCCUGAGCGUGCUUUCGAUACGGGUUGACUUGAGGAAGGUAGGGGAGAAUGGAAUUCCUGGUGGAGCGGUGGAAUGCGCAGAUAUCAGGAGGAACACCAGUGGCGAAGGCGGUUCUCUGGGCCUUUCCCGACGCUGAGGAGCGAAAGCGUGGGGAGCGAACAGGCUUAGAUACCCUGGU